rnacentral:rRNA from 1 species
UACGUAGGGGGCAAGCGUUGUCCGGAUUUAUUGGGCGUAAAGAGCGUGUAGGCGGCUAGGUAGGUCCGUUGUGAAAACUCGAGGCUCAACCUCGAGACGCCGGUGGAAACCAUCUAGCUAGAGUCCGGAAGGGGAGAGUGGAAUUCCUGGUGUAGCGGUGAAAUGCGCAGAUAUCAGGAAGAACACCCGUGGCGAAGGCGGCUCUCUGGGACGUGACUGACGCUGAGACGCGAAAGCGUGGGGAGCGAACAGG